rnacentral:rRNA from 1 species
CAGCCGCCGCGGUAAUACAGAGGGUGCAAGCGUUAAUCGGAAUUACUGGGCGUAAAGCGCGCGUAGGUGGUUUGUUAAGUUGGAUGUGAAAGCCCCGGGCUCAACCUGGGAACUGCAUCCAAAACUGGCAAGCUAGAGUACGGUAGAGGGUGGUGGAAUUUCCUGUGUAGCGGUGAAAUGCGUAGAUAUAGGAAGGAACACCAGUGGCGAAGGCGACCACCUGGACUGAUACUGACACUGAGGUGCGAAAGCGUGGGGAGCAAACAGGAUUAGAGACCCCAGUAGUCCCUGUCUCUUAUAC